AAUCUGGACAGGAGGAAGUCAGACCCUAUGAUCUUAUUUUGUAGCAGUGACAGCACUAGCCUGAGCGGAGGGUCUCAGGUUGCCUUUGGGAUGAACUAUUGCUAAGUCAACAGAUAUUUCUUGAGCAUCUGCUAUGGGUCGAGAUCUUUGCCAAACCUGGGAUUACAGUGGUGCUUAAAACCUGGCCUCAUUCUGUUGUAAACAAUGACAAUAUUUGACCCCAAUGAAGAAAAAGGACAGAGAAUCCAGUUGAAUCUAGGGGGUUGAAGAAGCCUUCAAGAACUUCUUAACUAAGCAAAAUUCUGAAGGGUAUGCCAGGAUGGGGGGAAGGUCAGUGGAUAGAGCAUUCCAGAGAGAAAAAGCCAGUGUGAAAAGGCCCAGAAGCUAGGAAAAGCAAAGUGAACUUGUGGAAUAAAGAAGGUUUACUGUGGGAGUUCCCUGGUGACCUAGUGGGUUAAGGAUCCAGCAUUGUCACUCCUGUGGUGAGGGUUCGCUCCCUGGCCAGGGAAAUUCUGCAUGCUGGGGGUGUGGCCAAAGAAAGAAAGAAAGUUCCCUGUGGGUGGAAACCUCCAGCCUGCCUUCCUUGCUUGGUGCACUGGAGGGUAUAGCCAGUACAGUCAGCUUCCUUGGAAGCCCCUCCCCGCCUCCCACCCCUCAAGAGAUUUUAACCCCACGACUCUCCCUUUUUCUCAGCCGUUAUUUUUUCUAGCUAAUGACAAUGGCAUUAUAGUUUUUACAUAGAGCUUUUUUUCUUUUUUUUUUUAACCGCUCAGCUUCUGCAAACGAAUGAGAACAUGCCAACAAGAUUGCAGCAAGAAGAGAGAUCAUAUACAGAAAUGCUUAUUGGCAUCAGUAUUCUGUUUCAGUGACAGUAUUAAUGAAAUAACAUUUCUUAGUUGUCUAUUUCUCAAUACAGAAAUGACAGACAAUGUGAAUCUUGUCCCAUUGGAAAUGAGUACAACGGAGAAGUACAGUCUUUUUAGUAGAAACACAUCAUGUCAAAUCUACAGAUCACUUUACCAUUGCUGGCAAAGAAUAAAAGGAGCUGUUGGAUUUUGGGGCAAGGUCAUGGACUCCAGAAAACAUCCUCUGAAGAGUCUGUCCUCGGAUAUGCCCUUUAUUGGAGGUUACAUCAUGAAGUUUUGAGCGCCACUCUCUGAUAUCAGCCUAAGGAAUGC
ensembl:lncRNA